rnacentral:rRNA from 1 species
UACGGAGGGUGCGAGCGUUGUCCGGAAUCAUUGGGCGUAAAGGGCGCGUAGGUGGCCCGGUCAGUUCGUGGUGAAAGCGCGGGCUCAACCCUGCGUCGGCCAUGAAUACUGCCGCGGCUGGAGCACUGUAGAGGCAGGCGGAAUUCCGGGUGUAGCGGUGGAAUGCGUAGAGAUCCGGAAGAACACCGGUGGCGAAGGCGGCCUGACUGGGCGAGUGCUGGACACUGAGGCGCGACAGCGUGGGGAGCAAC